GAUGAAGAACGUAGCGAAAUGCGAUAAGUAAUGUGAAUUGCAGAAUUCAGUGAAUCAUCGAAUCUUUGAACGCACAUUGCGCCCGCCAGCAUUCUGGCGGGCAUGCCUGUUCGAGCGUCAUUUCAACCAUCAAGCCCCCGGCUUGUGUUGGGGACCUGCGGCUGCCGCAGGCCCUGAAAAGCAGUGGCGGGCUCGCUGUCACACCGAGCGUAGUAGCAUACAUCUCGCUCUGGGCGUGCUGCGGGUUCCGGCCGUUAAACCACCUUCAUAACCCAAGGUUGACCUCGGAUCAGGUAGGAAGACCCGCUGAACUUAAGCAUAUCAAUAAGCGGAGGA
rnacentral:misc_RNA from 1 species